rnacentral:pre_miRNA from 1 species
UAAUUUUUUUAAAAUAAAUUUUUAUCUAGUCAUGAGGUACAUAUACCUUAUUGCUCAAAUUCAUUUAAUAUAGCAAGGCUCGCUACAUCACGGACUAAUGAUCUGGUAACCCACAGAGCAAUA